UUAAAAAUCUAAAAUUCAAACUCAAAAUAAUUAUUACUUUUUAUUAUAUUUUUAAAUAUAUUAUAUUAGAUUUUUAAAUAAGCUCUUAAAAAAAAUUUAUAAUCUGUCAUAUGAUCCUANAAUUGGAUACAAUUUUCUGUAAACAUAUUGAAUAGCAAAUAUAUCUUUAUAAAGUUCAACUUUUUAUAUUUAUUUCUUUAAAAGUUCUAGCAUUUUUAAAUAUAUCCCCACUGUAAGAAUUCGUUAGAAAAAUAAAAUAUUUAACCAUGAUUAGUGAAUGACAUAAAAUAACCUUUUUAUCCCUUUUCUAUUAUUUGUGAUGGUAGAAAGAAAGAAAAUAACCGUUGAAAUUUUUUAGAAGGACAUUUCUAUAUAAUUCUAACAGUUGGAGCUUUUGGAGAAAUAUAUUUGUGAUAGUAAAAAUAUCAUUUCACUUAUCUUCUAUUAAUAACAAAUAGUUUUCCAACGGUAAUAAAUCAGAGAGGAAAAUAUGAAUAUCAUCGGACUUUUUACAAAAAUAAAUAUAAAAAGUUAAACUUUGUAAAGAUAUAUUUACUAUUCGUUACGUUUACAGAGACAUGUUUGAUAAAAUAAAGUUUGGUGUUAAGGCCUAUCAACCGCUAUUAGAUAAAAUGAAGUUAAGGAAAAAGUAUAUAGGGAUAUACUUCUACGUAUACCGUAACCGACUCAUCGCGAUAUGCGGAAUGCAAUAUUACGUACGAAAAUAAAUAUGAUAUCUUUCUAACGUACUGUCUCACCGCAAGUAACACAAUCUCCCGGCAAUUCCAAACGGAGCCUAACUCUAAAAAAAAAAAAAAGUCUUUUACU
rnacentral:lncRNA from 1 species